rnacentral:lncRNA from 1 species
CCCACGUCACUUGAAAUGUUCCCAGAGAUGUGGGACUCCUUAACCAAGUCUGGCUUUCUUCACCUCCUUAAUAAUUCAUCUGGCUUGUCUUCAGGAGGCUCCUGAUGGCAUCGCUUUCACUUUCUUACAAAACUCCCCUCAAAUUCCCAGUGAAUGCCCCCAACAUGAGGACACGUUGCUGUUAAGGAGCAGUCCCUGCUCUACACAGCCCGUCCAAGCCCCAGAGAGGUGCACAUGGCUGGGACGACUCUCCAGGCCCUGACAGACCAUCCUGGCCUGGGAACCAAUGCGUUUGUCCCACAGAGCCCCCAAGGAGAUGAAGAAGACAGCAGGUCUGGAAGAUAUUUCGGUGAGGGUGAAGAUCCACAGCACCUGAGAACUCCCCACCUCCCACCGUUACUGCCUGUGUCCCCUGGCUGCUCCCAGGUAAGUCUGUGUUCCUAAGGGAGGGUUC